CUAUGCUGAACAAGGUAGGUGGCGGACAGACUGAGGCUUGUACGAUGUUGUACUAUGAUAGCGACCUGUCCUUUCACCAGUUGACUUGAGAUCUGAAGGCUUCAGAUGAACGUUGGUGAAGCUUCUGAUCCUUGUCAGAUUAAAGCUUGGAUUCUUCUGACCUUGCAACUUCUGCUUCUGAACAAGUUCCUCAGAACUUCUGAACGUCAGAGCUAGAAUAGCUUGGGUCUUCAGAACCAACUUCUUGCAGGUCUUCAGAACUUGAGUCUUCUGCUUCUGGACCGUUCCACUGGAACAUCUGGUCUUCAGAACUUCUGACUCUGGUUCUUCAGAACCUCUUGAGAGCUUGUAUCUUCAGAACUUCUGAAGGAUUUGCCACUGUUAUGAACGAACAUGGUACGCUUUAGAGCUCUCUUUUUAGUAUCCCUUGGUUCUUCUUCUUCUGAAUAAAUAGGCUUGGGUCAGAUUCAAAACCUGUUUGUCACAACUAAAAAAGACAAACGUUAGGGUACCACAAUUAUUCAUCAUCACAAACCUUAAUUGUAAUCAUCAAAAUAUAGAGAUGCAUCCACUGAUCAAAUCUUGAUCUUACAAUCUCCCCCUUUUUGAUGAUGACAAAACAAGUAUUUUGAUGAACAAUUCUUAAACAAUAAACUGAAUACACAAAAGAGAAGAGAUCAGAAAUUAAACUUAUCCUUGUGUAACGGUUAGUAUUGCUCAUUCUGAAUCUGGGAUAACACCUGAUUCUGAGCUGGGGUCUCCCCCUGAAUCUAUGACUUGAUGAGAUGAUGAAGAGUCUAGAUUCGGAGUCUUGGUGAUGUGAUCAGAAGAUACGCGUAUAAGGAUGUAUACUCAUCAGAAGUGAUGGUUCAGAACUUGCGUAGAUCACAAAAAAAAACAUAGAGUCUUGUCCAGAUAUAAUUGGAAUAAGGCGUCAGAAGCAAAUUAGUUCAGAAUAUGAACAGAAUGUAUUCCUUAUUUGAGACGCUUGACAAUAUCUAUGUGCUAUAAGUAUUUGAUACUUAUUCUCCUCUACUGGUUUUAUAUAAUGUAAGAGCGUUUAUCAAAACCAUUUUAUGUACUCCCCCUUUUUGUCAUAAUCAAAAAGAGUGAAAAACAAAGUUACAAACGACAAUAACAACAAGGAAAUGAUGCAAGGGAAGCUGUUAUUAUUGCUGAACGGAGAAAGAGUACAGAGGAUAGAGAGGAAUGAAGAAAACUAAUCCUAGAUACAUAGGAAAGCACGAGAAUUCUUCAUGGAGAGAAGUUGAAGAUGUAGGGGACGCAUGUCCUGAUCAAUUGAGGUCAUCUGGGUAGCCAGGUCUUCCUUCAGAGCUUCAUUCUCUCGGACCGCAUCUUGAUCCGCUUCGUUGUGAUCGUCUUCAUAUUCCAGAAGCAUACAAAUGCCCUGGAACUGAUCUUCAACGUCCUUCCGGCGUGUGGUCAGACGAAAGAGGUCAUUCAGAACUUCUUGAAGGUUCUGAAGACAGUGAGUCUGAUGGGAUGUCAGCCAACACUUCAGAAGAUUCUCAAUCUUCUCAAGAGCUUGAGAAAUCUGAGACGAAGAGAGAUUAAUGCUCCAUGGAAAGACUUGGUCAAAUACCAUAGUCUUGAGUUCAGAAAUUAAUUCUACAGAAGUCAUUCUUGAAGUAGAAUUGAGAGAAGAGUGAAAUGGCUGAGGUGAAGUGAAUUGCGGUGUGAUGGAGAAGAAGGAUUGCAGAGAUUAUAAGGAGGAAAAGUAACAGAAAAACAUGCAUAAAACUUAACAAAUCAUAAAAGCAUGUGAGUUACUAAGUGGACGGUGCAUUGAAUAAUAAAAUGAGAAAUUAACACAGUCAACAUGAAAUAAAAUCACUCAAAACAAAUAAAUGCAUGCAAGAUAGAUGAGAGGGGUUUCAAGGCUUGGAAGAAGAGGGAAGAUGCUCGAUCAGGAAUUUCAUCAUAUCUUCCAUUCUGCGGGAGGAUUUCUGAAUCUGCCUGCUCUGUUCAAUCUGAACCAGUCCUUGCUGCUCAACCAUCUGAAACAGUCUCUGCUGAUCAUCUUGAAUGCGGUCAAUUCUGGCAGUAAGAGUAGUAACUUCUGGAGCUGGAACUGAAGUAGGAACUUCUGGGGCUUGAGCAUGAGCAGCAACUUCAACCUCUGAUGACAUUUCAGCAUCAACUUGAAUUAGCCCUUGCUUCUCAACUUCAUUAGCUUCUGCAUCUUCCAGAAUCACUAUGCCGUCAGAGCUGUCCUCUGCAACCUCUGCUGGAAUCAUCUCAGCAUCUUCUAAGGUACAUUCAGAGACAACAUAUUGUCUUUCAGCCAUAGCUCUUCUCAAGGGUGCACAGACUCUGUGUAGCACUCUCUGCCUUUGCUCAUAGGCUCUCUCAGAUGCAUCAUGAACUCUUAGUCUUUUCUCCUUGCUAAGCUGCUUCUGAAGUUCAUGAGCUUUGCCUUCUGACCAUCUUUCGAAGGCAGACCAUAGACCAUCAACAAGAGAGGCAUCAAACUGAUUAUCAGUUACCUGAUAUAACCAUUUCAGUCUUCUGGUGGCCUCUUCAGAGAACUCCUGAAUGAGUUGAAUAAGAUUUUGAGGUCUGAAGGAGGUUGCCAAGGUCAGAACAGGCUGAGAAGUUCUGGUUGCAUUGGAGCUUGAAGCAUUUGAGCUAUCAGGUCUGGGUUGUUCUGAAUGAAUAGAACCAAUGUCAUGAUCCUUCUCUAUGUCUGAGUGAUCUGAUUCAUCCAUGUGCUCAGCUUCAAAGAUCGUUACUUGCCUUUGCCUUGAGGUAGCCGUCUUCUCAGGUGAGGUAAAACUCAGAUCCUGUGAGUUGACUGCAGAAUAGUUGGACAAGGACACAUAGGAAGUUUCAGGAACAUCUUGAAGCUGGUCUUCAAAGUUGGAAGCUACUUGUUGAAGAGGCUUCACAUUGAAGGGCGGUUCAAGGAUCUGAACAUCAUCACCCUCUUUUUCUGCCUCAGCAGGGAUCUCACCAGUUUGAGUUAUCAGAACGGUGUGUGAAGUGGAUGGAGGUUUGGGAGUGAAUUGUUGAACCAAAGUUCUCAGAGUGGCCUUGCUUUGAACAAUACCUUGAAUGAAGGAAUUGAAAGGAGGUACAGGUUCAGUUGUGGUGGAUGUGGAAGAGGUGUGAAUUGGGAUGGAAGGGAUGGCAGUGGUAGCUGUUUGGAUGGUUGAUUUAGGAGCUUGUGUUUCAGCUUGUGUUUUAGGUUGAGUGGGUGCUGUUUGGGUUGAGGUAGGCAUGGAGGUAGAUAUAGGCAGGGGUUGUUCAGGAAUAACUACUAAAGCAGAAUCAGAGUUAAUGCUUUCAGUAAUUACCUUACUUGGACUUCUGAUGGGAGUGGUUCUGGUGAGUUUUGCAGCCCUUGCAGGAUCAGAAGUACUCUUUGAUCUUCUUUCCCUUUGUGCUUCUGAAGCAAGGUCAAAUGUCUGCUUUGAUUCUGCCUCUUUCUACUGAAGUGGACCCUUCAGAGGCAGUUUCCUUCUCUUCACUAAGGGUACUUCAUCAGAAUCCGUGGAUUCUUCAGCUUCUGAAGAUUCCCUUAUGACCUGAAGCACAUUCUGGAUGAUCUCAUGGUCAUCCUGCUCAUCUUCUUCCUCAAAAAUAACUUUUCGCCUCUUAGCUAGAGGAACAUCAUCAUCUUCUGUCUCCUCACUUGAGGAUUCUUCCAAGGAGUUCUCAGAGCUUUCGGAGGCAACAUAUUGAGAUUCCUCAUAUGACUCUUCCUGAGUUCUUUCAGGAGAGGGUUCUGGAACUGGUUCCCUGAUGAAUACCGACUUGGAUGCAGCUUUCUUCCUUUUAGGUUCCUCUAUCAGAAUCACUUUGCCCUUGGGAUCUGAAGGCUUGCUGGUUGUUUUCUUUACUCUCCUUGUUGGCAUCUCAGGAGGACUCUCAGGAAGAGUUCUGACAAAAUCCUCAAGAGUGAUUGGAUCUCCAUUCCUUCUGAGCAUUCUCACAUAUUCCAGAAUGCUUGCUGGAUUGUCCUUCUUGGACCAGAGAGGAAAGUCAUCAACAGGAUAGUUCCUCUGACGAACCUCUUCAGAUGUAUCUUCUGUGGGCUCAACUUGGACUUUCUCAAUGAUUUGCAUCCUUUUCAACUUGGUUCCAUUGAGAGCAUCGCCAAUUGUCAUGGUCAGAUCUUCAUGAAGUCCAAGGUCUGAUAGUGUCUUGACUAGUUUGUUCUGAACAAAGAUGUCAGACAGCAACCUUCCAUAAGGAAUGUAAGAGAUGAACCUCUUGUUCUCAGAAGUUGUGGUCCUUGACUUCUCAAUGCAUUCCUUCAGAUAGUUGAAUAGCAGGAAUGGCAGACAUAUAGGUUCACCCGUAGAGAUAUAGUACAUGAUUACCUUUUUAGUUGCAUUCAGGUAAUCAGUUCCUCCAAUUAUGGGGUGAAUGCAGUAGAUGAAGAUCUUCUGCCAGAUUUUCAUUAAAGGCUUCAGAUCCUUUAUUCCAUACUUGGUCCUUGUCUGCGACCAAUUGUCAUAAAUUUCCUUAUUCACUUUAUUCUUCAUCCCAGCAAUAUUAGCAUCAACAUUCUUGAUCCUUUUUCCUUGCUGGAACUCCAUACCCAGUAGCUUGGCAAUGGACUCUUCUGAAAUUACAAUCUUCCUAUCCAGCACAUGGGAGACGACGUAGUAGUCGUUGCAGACUGCAUUUUUCCAGAAUUCUAUAACCAGCUUGGUGUAAAUCGGUCCACAGAGCCUAUCAAAGUAGCCAGACCAUCCUUGCAAGUUGACCUGAUCCCUGAUAUCAAACCCACGAUCAGCCAGGUUGUCGAAAUCCACUCUUGCUUCGUGGCACACAACCAGUUCUUCAGCUUUCUUGACACAAGUGACCACAUUGGGUGUGUCCAGAAUCUGCUGAGCUUCUUCAAAUCUCUGAGUUUCUUGGUCUGCGGCGGUUUGUUUGGAGGAGGCAGUAACAUUUGUCUUUGAUUUCACCAUGAUUCUCGGAUAGUGAGGUUUAGGGUUCAGAGAAAGAGAGGAAUGUUGGAGAGAAGAGUAUAAAUGAAUGCAAUGCACACGAAGAGUUUGAAAACCGUAUGAGUAAGUGUGUGGGAGAUCGUGUGUGAGGAGUGUGUAUAGUGGGUUAGAUGGUAACCGUUGAGAUUUUAAGGAGAGAAAAGAGUCAAAACAAGAUCAACGGUUCUAAAAUAGAUAGUAUGAAAAUAGCAUAGUGGAGGAGAGUAGGCAUCAUCAUUAUAGCAGAUAUACCACGCGACUCAAGGAACUAUGUCACAAAUGAAGUGACACGUGUAUUGUUGCCUACCACAGAAGUUUAACCAGUGGGUUAAGUGCUUCUGAUCGAGUACCUUCUGAAGUGGGUAACAUCUGAUGACUUCAGAAGUACCAAGGUCAGAAGUUCUGAAGAAAACCUUACUCUGGACAAAAGUCCAUGUUCAGGUUUUCAAGAAUAAAUAAAAACCUAUCUUCUGCUAAGGGCUUAGUGAAAAUAUCUGCCCACUGAUGGUCAGUAUCAACAUACUCUAAUGAUAGAGUGCCCUUCUGAACAUGAUCACGAAUAUAAUGAUACUUUACCUCUAUAUGCUUUGCUCUUGAGUGUAGAAUAGGGUUCUUGCUGAGUGAGAUAGCAGCUGUGUUGUCACAGUAAAUAGGAACCUUCUUCAGAGACAAACCAUAGUCCUCCAGAUGAUUCUUUAUCCAUAUGGUUUGUGUACAGCACGUGGCAGCUGAGACAUACUCUGCUUCAGCAGUUGAUAGAGCAAUUGUGUUCUGUCUCUUGCUUGACCAAGUAACAAGAUUCCCUCCAAGAAAAUGGCAGCUUCCAGAGGUGCUUUUUCUUUCCACUCUGUCUCCAGCAAAGUCAGCAUCACAAAAACCUGAAAGUGUAUACUCUGAUGUUUUUCUAUACAUCAAGCCAAGGUUAGUUGUUCCUUUCAGAUAUUUGAGGAUCCUCUUAACAGCAGUUAAGUGAGUCUCUCUAGGAUCUGAUUGGAAUCUAGCACAUAGAUGCACACUAAAUAAUAUAUCAGGUCUGGAGGCAGUUAAGUAAAGAAGAGAGCCUAUCAUUCCACGAUAGAGCUUCUGACAAACCUUAGAGGAAACUUCCUCUUUCUCAAGAAUGCAUGUUGGAUGCAUUGGAGUCUUAGAGAUGUUGUAGUCACUCAUGUUGAACUUCUUCAGAAGUUCCAAGGUGUACUUCUUCUGAUGGAUGUAAGUGACUCCUGGUCGUUGAUCUAUCUGAACUUUAGAAAAUCCCAUUCUUGACACCAUAUUUGAGUUCUCCCAUCAUGCUCAUUUCGAAUUCAGCCUGCAUCAACUUAGAAAAUUCCUUGCACAGAGAGGGAUUAGCAGAACCAAAAAUAAUGUCAUCAACAUAAAUCUGAACUAUAAGAAUAUCAUUCUUAUAGGUUCUGCAGAAAAGAGUAUUGUCACCUUUACCCCUUACAAACUCAUUCUGUAGAAGAAAGGAGCUGAGCCUUUCAUACCACGCUCUAGGAGCUUGUUUCAGUCCAUAGAGUGACUUCUUGAGCUUGUAGACAUGAUCUGGAUAUUUGUCAUCUUCAAAGCCAGGAGGUUGCUUGACAUACACUUCUUCAGAAAUGUAGCCAUUGAGGAAGGCACUCUUGACAUCCAUCUGAUGGAGAACGAUGUUGUGAUUCACUGAGAAGGAGAUCAGUAGCCUUAUAGCUUCAAGCCUUGCUACAAGAGCAAAGGUCUCAGUGUAAUCAAUUCCCUCUUGUUGACUGUAUCCUUGAGCCACCAGUCUUGCCUUGUUUCUUGUUACUUCUCCUUUUUCAUUCAGCUUGUUUCUGAAUACCCACUUGGUUCCUAUGACAUGGAAACCUUUGGGUUUAGGCAUUAAGGUCCAUACAUCAUUCUUGGUGAACUGAUCUAGCUCUUCUUGCAUUGCCAGAAUCCAGCCUUUGUCUUCAAGAGCUUCAUCAAUUGAUUUGGGCUCAAUGAGAGAAACAAGUCCCUUCAGACUCAGAAGAGUCUCUUCUGAAGGUUUGAGCAUUGACCUGGUUCUGACGGGGGCAUCUUUGUUGCCAAUAAUCAGUUCUUCUGGAUGAGAGACAGCUAUUCUUUUCUUCUUCUGAAGCUGAUCAGAAGUUGUUGGAGCAGCUUCAGAUGCUUCUGCCUCUGGAGCAACAUCCUCUGAGCUGUUCUUUGGUUGAUUUGCUUCUGAACAAUCAAUGCUUAAAUCUGCAAAUCUUUCAAACAGCUUUGACUUUUCUGAGCCAAGCUUAUCAUCAAAUCUAAUUUGAAUAGAUUCCUCAACAGUUUGAUGAAUAAUAUUAUAAAUUCUAAAACCUUUAGAUCUUUCAGAAUAACCAAGAAAAUAGCAUUUUAAGGCCUUAGAAUCGAAUUUACCCAAUUGCUCCUUAGUGUUGAGCAUGUAGCAGGUGCUUCCGAAGGGAUGGAAGUAAGAGAUAUCAGGUUGUCUUCCUUUGCAUAGCUCAUAAGGAGUCUUCUCCAGAAUAGGUCUGAUGGAGAUUCUGUUAUGGAUAUAGCAAGCAAUGUUGAUUGCUUCUGCCCAGAAGAGCUUGGCCAUACUUGAUUCUUGCAUCAUGGUGCGAGCCAUCUCCUGAAGAGUUCUGUUCUUUCUUUCAACAACUCCAUUUUGUUGAGGAGUGCGAGGACAAGAGAAGUUGUGAGAGAUUCCUUGGGAGUUGAACAAUUCUUCAAAAGCUUUGUUCUCAAAUUCUCCACCAUGAUCACUUCUGACAGUAAUCACUGAAGUUUGGAACUCCUUCUGAACUUGAGUGAUGAAGUUGGUAAACAUAGUGUGUGUUUCAUCUUUAUGCCUUAAGAAAUUUACCCAUGUCCACCUGCUGUAGUCAUCUACAAUGACUAAUCCAUACUUCUUUCCUCCAAUGGAUUCAGUUUUCACUGGUCCAAAGAGAUCAAUGUGAAGUAGCUCAAGGGGUCUUGUUGUAGAUACCACAUUCUUUGCUUUAAAUGGCUUCUUGGUGAAUUUUCCCUUCUGACAAGCUUCACACAGAGCCUCUGAUGAAUACUUCAUACGAGGCAAUCCUCUGACGAGAUUUAGCUUGCUAAGUUGAGAGAUUUUCCUGAGGCUGGCAUGCCCUAGGCGUCUGUGCCAGAUCCAUUGCUCAUCAUUAACUGACAUGAGACACUUGACCUUCUGAGAUAGCAGUUCAGAAGAUUUGAUUUUGUAAAUAUCAUUUUUCCUCUUCCUAGAAAACAGAACAGAUCCAUCUGUUUGACUGACAGCUUUGCAGCCGGUUUGAUUGAAGAUCACAUUGUAACCUUUGUCAGCAAUUUGGCUUAUGGAGAGCAAGUUAUGAAAUAAUCUUUCCACCAGAAGUACAUCGUUGAUAACUGGAAUUUUUCCAUUUCCUAUGGAACCUUUUCCAAUGAUUUUUCCCUUCUGGUUUCCUCCAAAGCCAACGUCUCCUCCUGACUUAAGCGGUGUCAGUUCUUGGAAUAUAGACCUUGUGCCCGUCAUGUGUCGUGAGCAUCCACUGUCCAGGUACCAUGACAGGUGUCUUAACUGAGCUGCAUAAGAUAUUUGUAACAGGAAUAAUUUUUGCCUUAGGUACCCAUAUCUUGGGUCCUUUCUUGUUAGUUUUCCCAGAAGUUCUUGGAACUUUGGGUGCAACAGGAGGAUAAUGCAAAGGAACUUGAUUAUAGUAUUUAGACAUGUCAAGUUUGAAUUUUCCUUUUGGUUUUACUACCUUUGGUGUAACCUUUUCUGGGAUGACAGUGCCAGCAGGAACGAAAUGCUUAUGCAAAGAUUCGCGUUUGGGCUCAGAUGACUCAUCUCUCAUGGAUUGAGAGUAGCCAAGGCCACUGUUCCCAUUUCUGCUCAUGCCAUAGAUCAUUGAAGCCAUAAGACUUCUGUCUAUGCCCUUGGCAAGGAACUUCUGAAACGCUUUCUCAUAUUUUGUCUCAUACUUAACAUCAGAUGAUGCAAGUUGAUCUUCUAGCACAGCAUUUUUAGCACGAAGAACAGAGUUGUCAUUUUUAAGAGAAUGAUUCUCUUCUGUGAGUUCAGAUACUGACUUCUCAUGAACUUCUGAUGAACUGGUUUUAACAGCAUACUUUCUCUUAAGCUCUUUAUAUUUACUUACUAGAACAUCAUGUUUCUCCAUUAUUUCAGAUAAGGCAGUUCUUAGCUCAGAUGGAGAAAAAUGAGAGAAUACCUCAUCAUCAUUCUCAGAGUUUGAGUCAUCUUCUGAAGCUUCAGCACCUCUGCUGGUGGUAGCCAUCAGAGCCUCCACAGCUUCAUCUUCUUCUGACUUAGCUUCAUCAGAAUCAGUUGCAUCGAAGGUCACGAGAGCUUUCUUCUUGAAGACUUUUCUUGGUCUCUUGUCCUUCUUUAGCUUGGGACAGUCACUCUUGUAGUGCCCAGAUUCCUUGCACUCGAAGCAAGUGACUUCCUUUCCAAAUGAUUUCUUCUGACCAGAUGAAGAUUCAUAUCUUCCUGAACUUUUCUUUGGUCCUUUGCCUUUGCUAUGUCUGUUCUUCUAGAGUUUGCUUAACCUCUUUAUGAAAAGAGACAUCUCUUCAUCACCAGACGCAUCUGAUAGCUCUUCAGAGGAAUCUUCCUCUUCUGCCUGAUAAGCUUUCGCUUUGUCAGACUUUGACUUAAGAGCAAUAGAUUUGUCUUUCUUUUGAGGCUUGUCCUCUUUGAGUUCAAUCUCAUGGCUUCUGAGAUGACUCACGAGUUCUUCUAACUUCAAUGAGUUCAGAUUCCUGGAGAGUUUCAAUGCAGUGACAAAAGCCCUCCAUUCCUUAGGCAAACUUCUGAUGAUCUUUUUGACAUGAUCACCAGUAGAGUAGCCCUUGUUUAGCACUCUGAUUCCAGCAAUCAGAGUUUGAAACCUUGAGUACAUCUCCUCAAUGGUUUCACCAGAUUCCAUCUUAAACUGCUCAUAUCAUUGUAUGAGAGCAAGAGCCUUGGUUUCCUUGACCUCUUCAUUUCCUUCAUGCGUCAUGACCAAGGAGUCAAAGAUGGAUUUUGCUGUUUCUUUGUCAGAGAUCUUCUCAUACUCAAUAUAUGAUAUUGAGCUGAAUAGCAUAGACUUCGCCUUGUGAUGAUCCUUGAAACGCUUCUUCUGAGCGUCAGUCAUUUCAGAACGGGGGAUCUUCACUCCUGAAGCAUCUACUGGAUCAAUAUAGCCUUCAAUGACCAUAUCCCAGAGAUCUGGGUCAGUGCCAAGGAAAUAACACUCUAUUCUAUCUUUCCAGUACUCAAACUUUUCACCAUCAAAAAUUGGUGCUCUGAGUUGAUUGUUGUUGUUGUUGUCAGCGGAAGUGUUGGCUUGGGCCAUUGUUUGUUUUUCACACAAGGUUCUGGAUCAUUGAACACUGUUAGGUGUUUAAAUCAGAACCGGAGCUCUGAUGCCAAUUGAAGGUGCGAAAAACACUAGAAGGGGGGGGGGGUUUGAAUAGAGUUUUGAAUAAAGGGUAUACUUUUGGAACUUUUUCAAAACUCAAGGAUAAGAACUAAGUGCUGAAGGAUAAGAAGUAAAGCACGCAAGUAUUUUAUCCUGGUUCACUUGAGAUAAAAGCUCAAGCUAAUCCAGUCCACCUGUGAAGGUGAUUUCUUCCUUCUUCUGAUGAAGGCAAUUCACUAAAAUCAAUGAGUGUUACAACUGCACUUUGCUACCUGCUAAGUGACUAACAAUACACUGAUUUUCUCACUAGUAUCCUCUUAAGAAGCUGAUCUACCGAUCCUCUUAAGACUAGCUAAACACUGAAUCAACCUUGAUUCAGUCCUCUCAAGAUCCGACCAACCUUGGUCUCUUAAGGAACUUACAAUGUAAUGUAAAGGGUUUCGGGUUUACAAUAAGUGCUUCUAAAAAGCUGAUAGUAAACUUAGAUGUUUAAGAACAGUGAAGAAAUAAUGCUAAGAGAUUGGUUUGUAAGUGUUGAAUGAUUUCAGCAAAGUUUCUUAGUCUCUUUCUUCUUUCUUCAGCCUUUAUAUACUCCAACACUUGUGAUGUAGCCGUUGCUAGGGUUUUGUCCGUUGGAGUGACAAUCUUGUAAUAUCAGACUUGCUAUGCUGAACAAGGUAGGUGGCGGACAGACUGAGGCUUGUACGAUGUUGUACUAUGAUAGCGACCUAUCCUUUCACCAGUUGACUUGAGAUCUGAAGGCUUCAGAUGAACGUUGGUGAAGCUUCUGAUCCUUGUCAGAUUAAAGCUUGGAUUCUUCUGACCUUGCAACUUCUGCUUCUGAACAAGUUCCUCAGAACUUCUGAACGUCAGAGCUAGAAUAGCUUGGGUCUUCAGAACCAACUUCUUGCAGGUCUUCAGAACUUGAGUCUUCUGCUUCUGGACCGUUCCACUGGAACAUCUGGUCUUUAGAACUUCUGACUCUGGUUCUUCAGAACCUCUUGAGAGCUUGUAUCUUCAGAACUUCUGAAGGAUUUGCCACUGUUCUGAACGAACAUGGUACGCUUUAGAGCUCUCUUUUUAGUAUCCCUUG
rnacentral:lncRNA from 1 species